UACAGAGGGGGCGAGCGUUGUUCGGAAUUACUGGGCGUAAAGGGCGCGUAGGCGGCCCGCUAAGUCGAACGUGAAAUCCCCAGGCUCAACCUGGGAACUGCGUCCGAUACUGGCAGGCUUGAAUCCGGGAGAGGGAUGUGGAAUUCCAGGUGUAGCGGUGAAAUGCGUAGAUAUCUGGAGGAACACCGGUGGCGAAGGCGGCAUCCUGGACCGGUAUUGACGCUGAGGCGCGAAAGCGUGGGGAGCGAACAGG
rnacentral:rRNA from 1 species